CAGAUGCAGAAACCUGGGCGAGGAGCCUCUGUGGCCUCUAGGCCCCGUGGAAGCUGAUGUGCUGAGCCUGCUGAGAAAACAACCAGAACAACAAACACCAGAAACUGCAAAUGCCGGCCGCCUCAUCCAACAGCGGUUCAAACGCACGUGUCCUGAAUCUGCACGGCGCCUGAAUCAGAUACGCAAACACCUAGCGCUGGUCUUCCAAAAGGAGCAUAGUUAAUUCCUGAUGAAUUUCCUGACUCUUGCAAGCUGUGUGGAGCUGUGUGUGGAGGUGCGAGACGCAGUGCUCUCAGAGGACAUGGAGGGAAGGACCCGUGCUGUCGACGGAAUCUCUGCACCAGCUCAUUCUGCCGCUGCCCACCGUGUUGUCAGAGCCCCCAGUGCCUGCUGUGGACCCAGGCUCAUCUCCCCGGGAAGCUCACUGGGCCUGUCUUCUGUGCCUGACAUCACUGUCCUGAUCAAAGAGUCAUUUCUGCAGAAGUAAUUACCGUUAUUUCUGGUAUAGUUGGUGGCUACGGCGCCUGAAGGAUUUCCACUGGAGCUGAAAUCAGUUGCUAAACAGGCAUAAUAAACUAAUGGUUGUUUGUUUUCUUGAA